rnacentral:rRNA from 1 species
CCUACGGGAGGCUGCAGUGAGGAAUAUUGGUCAAUGGACGAGAGUCUGAACCAGCCAAGUCGCGUGAAGGAUGACUGCCCUAUGGGUUGUAAACUUCUUUUAUAUGGGAAUAAAAUGUUCCACGUGUGGGAUUUUGUAUGUACCAUAUGAAUAAGGAUCGGCUAACUCCGUGCCAGCAGCCGCGGUAAUACGGAGGAUCCGAGCGUUAUCCGGGUUUAUUGGGUUUAAAGGGAGCGUAGGUGGAUUGUUAAGUCAGUUGUGAAAGUUUGCGGCUCAACCGUACAAUUGCAGUUGAAACUGGCAGUCUUGAGUACAGUAGAGGUGGGCGGAAUUCGUGGUGUAGCGGUGAAAUGCUUAGAUAUCACGAAGAACUCCGAUUGCGAAGGCAGUUCACUGGACUGCAACUGACACUGAGGCUCGAAAGUGUGGGUAUCAAACAGGAUUAGAUACCCCUGUAGUC